GAUGAACGCUAGCGGCAGGCUUAAUACAUGCAAGUCGAGGGGCAGCACAGAUAGCAAGAUUGGGUGGCUACCGGCAAACGGGUGCGGAACACGUACACAACCUUCCUUUUAGUGUGGGAUAGCCCAGAGAUGUUUGGAUUAAUACCACAUAGCAUAUGGGGGUGGCAUCACUUUGAUAUUAACGAUUUAUCGCUAAAAGAGGGGUGUGCGUAUGAUUAGGUAGUUGGUAGAGGUAACGGCUCACCAAGCCUUCGAUCAUUAACGGGUGUGAGAGCACGACCAGUCACACGGACACUGAGACACGGGCCCAACUCCUACGGAAGGCAGCAGUAAGGAAUAUUGUUCAAUGGACGGAAGUCUGAACCAGCCAUGCCGCGUGAAGGAUGACGGCCCUCUAGGUUGUAAACUUCUUUUAUGUGGUACGAAAAAGGGCCAUUUUUGGUCAACUGACGGUACCAUAGCAAUAAGCACCGGCUAACUCCGUGCCAGCCGCCGCAGUAAGAC
rnacentral:rRNA from 1 species